AGCGGAGAGGCGACCGUCCCCGGACCCGCCGGGCGGCGAGCGGCGGAAACCGUCGGCGGCCCGCGCUUCCUCUCCGCCUUCCCGGGCCGAGCUCCGGCCGGGACCGGUACCCGGCGCGGCUGGGCCCAGGGCCAGGGCCCCCCGCAAGCCCCAGAGGUGCGGCGAGUGAGGGGGGCGCACGAUGCCGCCCGCGUCGCCGGUGGCCGCUAUCUCCCUCCGGGAGCUGGCGGACCUCGCCAUCGGCACCCCGGAGGUGGGCGCCGUCAACUUCACCGCCCUGCACACGCUCAUCGUGGCCAUACUUAAGAACCUCCACCUCCAGGAGACCCUCAUCGACUUCCAGCCCCCGGCCCCCGACCUGCCACCCCGCGCCCCGGCCUCCGCCCAGGCCUCCAUCAGCGUCCCCCAACUGCCCGGGGCCAAAGAGAGGAGCCUGAGCAAGGCGGCCGCCCCCCAGGGGCUGGAGAGCCAGGUGAGGGACCUGGGCGGCCAGGUGCAGGACCUCAACCGGCAGCUCAAGAACAUCGGGAGCCAGGUGCACGGCAUCGUGGCCCACGUGCAGCACCUGACCCAGGCCGGCGGGCUGGACGUGGACGCCCGCGAGUGGCUGGAGAACCGGGACCUGGCCUCACUAAUGCUGGAUAGCCCGUACAGGGGGUCACUGAAAGUCUUGAAAGACUCCUCCGAGACCAGUGUCUCCAAGACCAAGGAGUUGCUCCAGGACGUCAUGGAAGAUGUGAAAACGCUAAAGGAAGCCCACUUAAAGAAAGUCAUGGAGCGGAUUGAAACACUAGAGAAGUUCAUCAAAGACCGGGACUUAUUUCUGGAACAAGUAGGCCGGAAGCUGAGUUUGAUUCCCGGUGGAGAAGAAGCCACCAUGGUCACUUGGGAAGAGCUGGAGCAGGCGAUCACGGACGGCUGGAAGUCCUCGCAGGCGGUGCGCAAACUGGGGGGGCUGGGCAGGGUUCUGGCGGGGCUCCCCAGAACUUCCUUCCUUUUCACAACCACACAGUAUUCCAUUUUACAGUUGUUUAUAAUUUAUUCCAUAAGUUCACCAGGCCCCUGUUAUGGAUAUUCCAAGUAUUUUCCAAUAUCGUAACAAACAGUGCUACAGCAUGACAUUCACAUGUGAACAUACCUGUAGAAUAAAUUCCUAGAAAUGGUAGGUACAUGUGUGAUCCUGCUAGCUCCUGCCAAACUGCCUUCCAUGGAUGUUGUUUCAACUUAGAUUCCCACCAGCAAUGUAGGAGAGAAUUUAUUGCUUGAUAUUCCCAUCGGCACUGUAUGUUGUAGCCAAUUUUUUGAGCUUUGCCACUCUGCUGGGUGGGAAAAUGGUACCUGAGUGCAACUUUAAGCCGCUCUUGGCACUUUUCAAGCCUCUCUUACAGUCUAUCCUACACAGCACGAGUCCCUUCACUCUUGGUGGACAAAGGUGCCCAAGACAACAAGUGAAGGCUCUUUGCUGAUCAAGGUGAUGUUUGCACAUGGACCCGGGUCUGUAUUCCUGAGACAGUGCACAGGGUGACCAAAUCAUAUCCAAAUCCUCCUUCAUCUGAAUAAAACCAACCCGAGAAUUUUCAAAUGGCCCUCAAGGAGGGGAUGAGCUGCCUUUUGGUCUUGACACUGCCCUCCCCCUGGCUUUGUGCCACUGGGUUACUCCAACAAAUCACACAAGCUGCGGCCGAGGGAGUAAGCCUUUUGGCGUCACCCAGUGGCCACCUGGGGAGCGACAAGUAUUAUCUGAGUGCAAGACACCCCUGUAGUCUCCCAAGGCUGUUUUCUGAGUUGGGGGUGCAUCUUGGGGGUAAGCAGCCUCAGAAAGAGCUGCAAGUAGAGCCUGGAAAUAAAAGGAAUGGAAUGGGAGAAGGUGGCCUCUACUUUCACUGCUUUUUGUUUUGUUUUUAGCCAAAGCUGUUUUGCACAUACCGUUAUCAUACUGUUUUUAGUGAGCAGCGUAUUUUCUUGGGGCGGGAGCCCAGGACACCUGCAAGACCUAUAAAUAAGCAUCCACAGGAGCCCCUUUAGACAUUUUUACUUCUCCAGAGGCCCGAAGUCAUCCACCUGUUGACAGUCGCUCCUAAUCAUGAACAACUCCAAAAGCAAGGAGAGUACAUAGAAAUAUGAGUUUCACCACCUUGAGGACGGAUGUUGGCAGAAUUUCACAUAGAGUGAGCUCAUGUGGCGUGUUCCGUGUUUGGUGAACCAGACGCCAGGAAGGAGUUCGCGUUUUGAUCUGGAGGAUGAAGGCUGCAACUGCACGCGAGACGGCCGUGGCGAGGGGCGUUUGGUCUUAAUGCAGAGACUGCUGGUUCCGCCCUGGAAUGUGGGAAUGGACAGACCAGCUGUUAGCAAGCAACUGGAUGGUCCUUCCCAACUGGGUGCAGCCAAAGAUAUUUCUUCUUCUUCUCCUUUUUUUUUUUUUUUAAAGCAAAAAAAGGAUUAAAAGGCAUACUGUCACCAGGAAGACCCCACGCUGAUGCUGUAGCCAAAACUUCUUCAGUUUCCUAUGACCAUUCUGGAUGGAGCUCGAUCCAUUGCAACAAUAGAAACAUCUUCCAGGACCAUUUUACCUGGUCCAGGUAUUUUGAGAUUGGUGUUCUCCUGCAGAAGUAGCAUGCCCAAGGAAACAAUGUUUUCUCUUUGAAGUUGUUUUGCCUGACAGGUUAAAGUAGCAAGCAAAACUGAAAACUCUUAUUUGCCAAUCUCAGUUGAAGGAAAGGCAGCAAGAGGUCAUUAACGUAUUGGAUGAGUUUAAAAUGGCCAGGAUACAAUUUUGCCUUGUAUUGUAUCCCAGGAAUCCUCGUCCAAAUGUCCUGGGGACCUUGAAGGUAAAUAAAAAUUCUCCCUGUGGUAUUAGAAGUCACCAGGGACUAGAAAGAAGGGGAAGUACAUGUUUGGUGGAU